rnacentral:rRNA from 1 species
GACGAACGCUGGCGGCGUGCCUAAUACAUGCAAGUAGAACCCUGAAGGAGGAGCUUGCUUCUCCGGAUGAGUUGCGAACGGGUGAGUAACGCGUAGGUAACCUGCCUGGUAGCGGGGGAUAACUAUUGGAAACGAUAGCUAAUACCGCAUAAGAGUAGAUGUUGCAUGACAUUUGCUUAAAAGGUGCAAUUGCAUCACUACCAGAUGGACCUGCGUUGUAUUAGCUAGUUGGUGGGGUAACGGCUCACCAAGGCGACGAUACAUAGCCGACCUGAGAGGGUGAUCGGCCACACUGGGACUGAGACACGGCCCAGACUCCUACGGGAGGCAGCAGUAGGGAAUCUUCGGCAAUGGACGGAAGUCUGACCGAGCAACGCCGCGUGAGUGAAGAAGGUUUUCGGAUCGUAAAGCUCUGUUGUAAGAGAAGAACGAGUGUGAGAGUGGAAAGUUCACACUGUGACGGUAUCUACCA